UAGAGUUUGAUCCUGGCUCAGAACGAACGCUGGCGGCGUGCCUAACACAUGCAAGUCGAACGAGAAAAUUUCCUUCGGGGAAUGAGUAAAGUGGCGCAAGGGUGAGUAACACGUGAAUAAUCUGCCUUCGAACCUGGGAUAACUUGACGAAAGUUAAGCUAAUACCGGAUAAGACCACGCUUCACAAGAAGUGCGGCCAAAGGGGUCUCAAACCCUGUUUGAAGAUGAGUUCGCGUACCAUUAGCUUGUUGGUGAGAUAACAGCCCACCAAGGCGACGAUGGUUAGCCGGCCUGAGAGGGUGAUCGGCCACACUGGAACUGAGACACGGUCCAGACUCCUACGGGAGGCAGCAGUGGGGAAUUUUGCGCAAUGGGCGAAAGCCUGACGCAGCAACGCCGCGUGAGCGAUGAAGGCCUUCGGGUCGUAAAGCUCUGUCAAGUGGGAAGAACACAAUGACGGUACCACUAGAGGAAGCCCCGGCUAACUUCGUGCCAGCAGCCGCGGUAAUACGAAGGGGGCAAGCGUUGUUCGGAAUUAUUGGGCGUAAAGCGUGUGUAGGUGGUUUUUCAAGUCAGACGUGUAAGCCCUCGGCUCAACCGAGGAAUUGCGUUUGAAACUGAUCAACUUGAGUGCAGGAGAGGAAAGCGGAAUUCCCAGUGUAGCGGUGAAAUGCGCAGAUAUCGAGAGGAACACCAGUAGCGAAGGCGGUUCUCUGGGCCGGCACUGACGCUGAGGAGCGAAAGCGUGGGGAGCAAACAGGAUUAGAUACCCUGGUAGUCCACGCCGUAAACGAUGAGAACUAGAUGUCGGGAGGGUUGCCUUUCGGUGUCGCAGCUAACGCGUUAAGUUCUCCGCCUGGGGAGUACGCCGGCAACGUUUAAAAUUUUAAAAGGGAAUUAGGGGGGGGGACCCGCCCAAAGGGGGGGGAGGCCUAGGGUUUUAAUUUGGAUGGCAACGGGGAAGAACCUUACCUUGGUUUUUGAAAAUAUUGGGAAAUUUUUUCAGGAAUGAAUUUGGUGGCCUUUGGGGAGCCGAAGAUACAGGUGUUGCAUGGGCUGUGGUUCAGCUGGUUUGGUGAGAUGUUGGGUUAAGUCCCGGCAACGAGCGCAACCCUUAUCAUUAGUUACCAGCACUUGGGGUGGGAACUAUAAUGAGACUGCCGGUGACAAACCGGAGAAAGGUGGGGACAACGUCAAGUCAUCAUGGCCCUUAUGACCAGGGCUACACACGUGCUACAAUGGGGCAUACAAAGAGUCGCGAGACAGCAAUGUUUAGCUAAUCUCAUAAAGUGCUUCGUAGUCCGGAUUGCACUCUGCAACUCGAGUGCAUGAGGUCGGAAUCGCUAGUAAUCGCAGAUCAGAAUGCUGCGGUGAAUACGUUCCCGGGUCUUGUACACACCGCCCGUCACACCAUGGAAGUGGGUUGCACCAGAAGUCAAUAGCUUAACCUUCGGGAGAGCGUUGCCCACGGUGUGAUUCAUGACUGGGAUGAAGUCGUAACAAGGUA
rnacentral:rRNA from 1 species